rnacentral:rRNA from 1 species
AGCGAACGCUGGCGGCAGGCCUAACACAUGCAAGUCGAACGAAGUCUUCGGACUUAGUGGCGGACGGGUGAGUAACACGUGGGAACGUACCUUUUGGUUCGGAACAACUCAGGGAAACUUGAGCUAAUACCGGAUAAGCCCUUCGGGGGAAAGAUUUAUCGCCAUUAGAGCGGCCCGCGUUAGAUUAGCUAGUUGGUAAGGUAAAGGCUCACCAAGGCUACGAUCUAUAGCUGGUCUGAGAGGAUGAUCGGCCACACUGGGACUGAGACACGGCCCAGACUCCUACGGGAGGCAGCAGUGGGGAAUCUUGCGCAAUGGGCGAAAGCCUGACGCAGCCAUGCCGCGUGAAUGAUGAAGGUCUUAGGAUUGUAAAAUUCUUUUACCAGGGACGAUAAUGACGGUACCUGGAGAAAAAGCCCCGGCUAACUUCGUGCCAGCCGCCGCCGUAA